UCUGGCUGACUGCUCACAGUGA
rnacentral:misc_RNA from 1 species